GCACAAUAGAAUGAGACAGUGCAUGUGAUGCCAGACAGGAAGAGGCAGAGGAGCUUUCCCCAUGGCCACCACCAUCACAGGUGCACAAGGAUUACCGUCGGGCUACCUCUGGUGUUCACUUCAGGCCCAAGGACUCUUCAGCUUGUGAUUACAAUGACCUCUCAAACAUCCAAAAACUACUGCAAAUCAAUUGAAAUGGUUGCAUUAUCAAUCAACUAUUAAUCAGACCAAAGAACCCAGCUGAGACUUCCACAGUGAGUUGAACGCUACCAGGUCGUACUUUACUUACAGGGAAGGAGAAUACAGCUCAGAAAAGAGAGAGUAAUCAAAGGGGGAGCAUGAAAACAAACAAAGGAAGCAGUCUGCACUCAAUCACAGCGAUGUGAUUGGAAGGGUGAUAAGGGAUAAAGGGCCACAAACUCACUGUCACAAUUGCCAUUAUGUGACAUCACUGAUCAUAGUUAGCUUUAGUUAAGCUAUGUCUCUUUGGCUCAAGAAUAAAGAGCAUGCACUGCAAAUAAUAAAUAAUUCCUGUAAAUUUACUUUUAAUUUACAUGCAAUAAAGUGUCCUCCUCCUUUUCUUCUUCUUCUCUUCUUCUUCUUCUUCCUCUUCUUCUCCUUCUUCUUCUUCUUCUUCCCUUCUUCUUCUUCUUCUUCUUCUUCUUCUUCUUCUUCUUCUUCUUCUUCUUCUUCUUCUUCUUCUCCUUCUCCUUCUUCUCCUUCUUUCUCCUUCUCCUCCUCCUCCUCCUUCUCUUUCUUUUUGUCUUUCUUCUUCCUUCUUCUUCUUGAGGCAGGGUCUUACUUUGUCACUGGGGCUGGAAUACAAUGGCGUGUUCUCAACUCACUGCAACCUCCACUUCCUGGGCUCAACCAAUUCUCCCACCCCAGUAGCUGGGACUAACAGGUGCAUGCCUUUAUGCCUGGCUAAUUUUGCAUUUUUUUGUAGAGACAGCAUUUCCCCAUGUUGCCCAGGCUGGUCUUGAACUCCUAUGCUCUAGCAAUCCUCCAUCCUCAGCCUCUCUAAGUGCUGGGAUUACAGGCGUGAGCCACCGUGCCCAGCCUCCUUCUUCUGAUACACAGUUUUUGUUCAUUUGUUUGAAAUAGAAGCUUGCUCUGUUGCUCAAGCUGGAGUGCAGUGGCACAAUCAUGGCUCAAUGUAGUCUCACACUCCUGGGUUCAAGUGAUUCUCUUGACUUAGCCUCUCAUGUAGCUUGGACUACAGGCAUAUGCCAAUCAUAAUUAGCCAUGCCUGGCUAAUUUUUUGUUUGUUUGUUUGUUUGUAUUUUAGUAGCUAUGAGGUCUUGUUAUGUUGCAUAAGAUGAUUUCCAACUGGGUUUAAGGGAUCCUCCCACGUCAGUCUCCCAAAGUGCUGGGAUUACAGGCAUGAGCCACUGCACCCAGACUGAUAUACAGUUUUAUGAGAUUUGGCAAAUGGCUAGAGUCAUGUAGCUACUUUCCCAAUCAGACUACAGUGUAACUCCAGUGAUACACAACAAAGACUAUUUCUUUAUAUUCAAAUACUCCACCUCCACCUAUCCUGAACCUCUGGCAACCACUGUCAGCUCUUCAUCCCCAUAGCGUUAUCUUUUCCAGAAUGUCAUACAAAUGUGUAGCUGUAUUCAUUUAGUAUAAUGGAUAAUGUAUUGUGGAUUCAUCCAUGUUUUUAUAUAUCUCUGUAAUUUGUUCUUUUUUAUAGUCCUAUAGCAUUGUAUUAUAUGGAUAUACCAGUAUUUGUCCAUGCAUUAGUUAAAGAACAUUUGGGGUAUUUUCAGGUUUUGGUGACUACCGAUGAAACUGCUCUAAACAUUUACGAGCUUUUCUAUGACAUAAAUUCACUUCACUUGAAUAAAUACCUGUGAGUAGGAUUGUUGAAUCAUAUGAUGAGUAUGAGUUUACAUUUAUAAGAAAUUGCCAAACUACAUUAUUAAAAAGUCAAGUGUUGAGCACGGUGGCUUAUGCCUAUAAUCCCAGCACUUUGGGAGGCCGAGCUGGAUGGAUCAUCUGAGGUCAGGAGUUCGAGACCAGCCCGGCCAAGGUGGUGAAACCCAUCUCUACUAAAAAUACAAAAAUUAGCUACUUGGGAGGCUGAGGCAGGAGAAUCACUUGAACACAGGAGGCAGAGCUUACAGUGAGCCAAGAUCAUGCCACUGUACUCUAGCCUGGGUGACAGAGUAAGACUCUGUCUCAAAAAAAAAGGUCAAAAAAUAACAGAUGCUGGCAAGGUUAUGCAGAAAAGCAAACACAUAUACACAGUUGGUGGGAGUAUAAAUUUUCUCAACCAUUGUGGAAAGCAGUGUGAUAAUUCCUCAAAGAGCUAAAAACAGAAGUAACAUUCCACCCAGCAAUCCCAUUACUGGGUAUAUACCCAAAGGAAUAUAAAUCAUUUUAUUAAAAAGAACACACAUAUGUUCAUUGCAGCACUAUUCACAAUAGCAACAUGGAAUCAACCUACAUACUCAUCAAUGGUAGACUGGAUUAAAAAAUGUGAUAUAUAUGUGAUAUAUAUAUAUAUACACGCACCAUGGAAUACUAUGCAGUCAUAAAGAAAGUCAUAAAGAAAGAAUGAGAUCAUGUCCUUUGCAGGAACACGGAUGGAGCUAGAGGCUAUUAUCUUUAGCAAACAAAUGCAGGAAUAGAGAGCCAAAUGCGAUAUGUUCUCACUUCUAAGUGGGAGUUAAAUGAUGAGAACACAUGGACACAAAGAGGGGAACAACAGACACUGGGUUCUACUUGAGGGUGGAGGGUAGGAGGAGGGAGAGGAUCAGAUAAAAUGACUACUGUGUACUAGGCUUAGUACCUGGGUGAUGAAAUAAUCUGCACAAGAAACUCCCAUGAGGUGAGUCUAUCUAUACAAUAAACCUACCCAUGUAAUCCUGAACCUAAAAUAAAAGUUUAAGCAAAAGAAACUGCCAAACUGUUUUUCAAAGUGACUAUACAAUUUUGCAAUUCCAUUUGCAAUGUAUGAGAGUACUAGACCAGUAGAGAGUCUACAACCUCAUCAACUCUUAAUAUUGUUAAGUAUUAUUGUUGUGGUUAUUAUUAUUAUUAUUGCAAUUCUAAUACUUGUGUAGUGUCAUCUUAUUGUUGUUUUAAUUUGCAUUCACCUAAUGACUAAUGAUGUACCUCUUUCCACAUGCUUUUGCCAUCAUGUUUUCUUCAGUGAAAUAUCUGUUUAAACCAUUUUUCUAAUUUUAAAUAAUUUUUCUUUCUGCUGAAUUUGUUAAAUAAUUUCUAAACUUAUGAUUUUUUGGGGGGUGGGGGAUGGAGCCUCGCUCUGUCGCCAGGCUGAAGUGCAGUGGUGUGAUCUCGGUUCACUGCAACCUCCGCCUCCCGGGUUCAUGUGAUUCUCCUGCCUCAGCCUCCCGAGUAGCUGAGAAUACACGCAUGUGCCACCAUGCCCAGCUAAUUUUUGUAUUUUUAGUAGAGACGGGAUUUCACCAUCUUGGCCAGGAUGGCCUUGAUCUCUUGACCUCGUGAUCCGCCCACCUUGGACUCCCAAAGUGCCGGGAUUACAGGAUUGAGCCACUGCGCUCAAUCUGAUGUUUUAUCAAGUAAAAGCUACAGAGUCAGAAUCAUAAUACAUAGAAUUUGAGUGAAUGAUAGCAAUAUGAAGCUAGAUUUUAAGAAGUCGAAAGGCUUACAGUUCUAGAUCACAGCUUCUCAGAGUUUAGUGUGCAAACAAGUCACAUAGGGAUCUUGUUCAAAAUGUGGGUUGUGAUUCAUCAGAUCUGGGUGGAGCCUGAGAAUGUGAGUUCUAAUACAGCCCCAGGUGAUGCCAAUGUUGCUAGUUGAUGCAUCACAUUUUAAGUAACAAGAGACUAAAGGAAUCUGGUUCAAAUUACCUUUUUAGAACCCCAAAGCUGAACAACACUCAGCAUGUAAUUAUGUUUACCUUUAUUUUUGGAAGAAAUAGAAACAUGUAAUUAAUAAAUACAUCAAGAUAGUUGCAGCUCCUUUAAGACACAGUGCAAACAGCUAGAACUUGAAUAGGUAUGUCACAAAGUCCCUGUAACAAAAACCUCUCCAAAAAUUAUGUUGUCAUGUUUAAUUGGUUAAAAAAAAAAAUUCGCUGGUUAUGGUCAAAACUUUCUGUGUCCUUCUCCUGUAAACAUUGGUGUGGGAGUGGAUGAGUGGUGUUCAAAUGGCGUAGGACCUUACUUAAAAACAUCAUAUACAGGGGAUUGGAAAUAAUUUGAGUACUAUAUAAAUGUCGCUUAACAUUGCAUAACAUAUAAAAUAAAGUGACAGUAGAAAAAUCCUUUUAUUUUGCAAGUCUCAUCAGAACCUGGAAUUUUUGUUGCACUUCUAAUUUUAAAAGACAGAGAAUCUGAAGAUUCCAGAGAAGAGAAUCAUCUAUGAUUUUGGCAAUGCAAACACUGGUCUUUAAGAAGGUAAUUUGUAUUUUAAGGAGUAAGCAAUACGAUCCAUUGAGAUUCAGGAAGAAAAUAUUAGAGCUUCUACUUUCACACAUUUUUAAAUUGAAAAAAUAAGAAAAUUAUAUUACACCAAUGUUUACUAUAUCACUUGACACAUGGACCUUCAUUCAGUCUCUAUGUCAUAGACUUACCUUGAAGAGUUUCAUUUUGGAUGUAAGUUUGAAAUAUUUUGGGGACAUCCAAACAAGGAUGUCAAGGAAGCAGCUAGAUAAGUGAUCACAAGGGAGAGAAGGGCAGAUUCAUAAACCAAGAAGGUGUCUGAAUAUAGAAGGAGUGGAUGGGAUGCCUUUGGUGACAAAAGCAAGUGUAACUAGGAGGGGAGUGUAACAUUUAGAGUUUGGGUACAAAAGGAAGAAAUGAACAAGGAGAACUGAGAAGGAGGCAAGGGUCAAGGGUGGCAAGAGAAGCAGGCGGGUUUCCAGGAAAAAAUGAUAGCGUGUCAAGAAAGACGGAUUAACCACAUUAAAUACUGCUGGAGGGUUGAGGAAAAUGAGGGCACAGUAUGCCUACUGGAUUUGAUUACACGAGCACUAUGGUGAACUCAGCAAGAGAGCAGCUAUCUCAGAAGAUUCCGUGAAAACUGGAAGCCGUGGGUCCAUUGUUUAAGCAAGGACAUUUUCUCCUUUGGUUGUUAACAAAAGUUGAUUUUAUUCUGGUGUAAAGAAAUGCAUGCAUCUUGUUUUAGUGUGCUCAAUGUGUGCUCAAUGCAUUUUUGAAGAUCAAAGACAUGCAAAAGGCGACAAACAAAAAUAUUUUUAAGUCAAUCACCAAGACUCCUAUUAUCUAAAAGCAAUCCCUGUAACAGUGCUGUGUCUAACUUCUGUGUUUUCUCACUUGAUAAGUUUUUAUUCUUUUAGCUUAUUCUAUGUAAUUGUGAUUAUAUUUUAUGCAGCAUUUUAUGCACUGGCUUUUUCACUUCACUUUUUAAUAAACAUUUUCCAAGUUUUAAAUGCUUUGUAAGCAUAAUAUACCAUAAAGUGAGCAUACCAUGGAGAUACUCAUCCCAUUUAGGUUGUUUCCAAUUUGAAGGCUGUUAUAAAUAAAGCUGAAAUGAGCAUUUUUCUGUAUAAACUUUUUCCCCAAUUUUUCUAGAUUAUUUUCUUACAGAGGAAUAUCUGCAGGGAAAUCUCUGAGUUAAAUGUUAGAAGGACCCUCAAACUCUAAGGACCUAUUUUAAAUGAACAUCUCUGUGUGCUGUGGAUUGGAAAGAAGAACCCCAAAUCAACGCUAAAGCAAGAUGAUAAACUCUUAGUGGUUUUAAUUCGUUAACUCCCAUGGACACACCUCAUCCCAAUUUCCUUUCUCACAACUUAGAGUCUUACUUUUCCACUUCCUCCUCCAAGUUCAUCUGGAACUUUCCUAAUACUGAACAGAAGAACAUAACUGCCAGUAAAAUGACAGGGAGAAAGGAGAAAAAGAGGCAAAGAGAGAGAAGAGAAAAAGAGGAAAUGGGAGGAGGGGGAGCAAAAAGAGGGAAAGAGAGGAAGACAAGGCCACUUGGUGCAUUCAUUGAUAUGGUUUGGCUGUGUCCCUACCCAAAUCUCACCUUGAAUUGUAAUAAUCCCCACGCAGGGCAUGGCUAAGUGGAGAUAAUUGAAUCAUGGAGUGGUUUCUCCCAUAGUGUUUUCGUGGUAGUGAACAAGUCUCAGGAUAUCUGAUGGUUUUAUAAGGGGCUUUGUCCCAUUUUGUUCAGCACUUCUCUUACCUGCUGCCACGUAAGACAUGACUCUGCUUCUCCUUUGCCUUCUGACGUGAUUGUGAGGCUUCCCCAGCCAUGUAGAACUGUGAGUCCACUGAGCCUCUUUCCUUUAUAAAUUACCCAGUCUCAGAUAUGUCUUUCUUAGCAGCAUGAGAACAGACUAAUACAUUAAUUUUUAAAAAGCCUUUGAGUUUUGUGUAAUUUAUAUUUUUCUCCAAACACUUCCAUUUUUUUAAGGCUGGAGCAUUGUCAUAGAAGACACAUCAAUUUUAAGUUCUUUGACAACCAAGCUUCUUUUUCUAUUAUCUCACCACUUUCUCCCUUUUGAGAAACUCUUCUUAGUGAAGUCUUGGUGAAACGCUCCAGUCUAUCACUUAAAAAGAAAAACCAAGCGCAGCUCUUCCCGCCCUGUCCUUGGUCAACAGGAAGCUGGCACAUGAAUUGGGCUUAUCCAGUUGUCAAUUAAUUCUGGGGUUUGUAUCCUGAAAGAGUGGCCAAAUAAUGCGGAGGCCUCAGCAGCCAGCUCAUGCUUCUGUUGUGACCCCUGCUGCAAUCUUCGAUGAUCAGCUCCCCUGUUGAUUACCCGUUCCUAAGUCUGGUCCUCCUGCUUCUAGUUUCUUCUAUAGAUCCCCGAGAACCCUUCCAAUAAUCUCCCUUUUCACUGAGUCCAUCUUUGUUGCUUGUAAAGAAGGCUCUGUCUGAAUCAAGUAGGCAGAACAGGGCCUCAUUUAGAGGUUUGGACUUUAGAGCAGUGGGAAACCACUGCGUGCGUAAAAACUCUUUCUGCACUCAUUGCCCAGGGGGAAAACAGAGACAUGGAGUAUGAGGGGAGUUAAGGGGGAAAAAAAAGGAAAGAAAAAAGAAAGAGAGAGAGAGAGGGUCACACACGUGGAAUUGCCCGGAAGGGUGGGGAGCAGACAGAAGGCUUCCGAGAGUGGCCGACACAUCGAGAUCAAGAACAUUCAAGGACAUUCUCGCUUUAGCAUCACACUCAGACUCGGGGGACCAGGAAGUGAAGACAAGGACUGAGACACUGUAAAAACUGCAUGUCUGAAAGCAACGGCAAGGGCAAAUGAGGAUGCCAGGAGAGACAUUUUACGCAGCUCCUGAGCGAUUUUGCAGGGCUUCAUGUAGCUCACUUCAGGGGAACAGAAAGAAUGAAGUUUGGUAAUAAUUUGCCCUUCUGACAGCCUCUGACCCCACAAUACUCAUCUCCAAUAUAUUCGACACAAAAAGGCCACCCCAGCAUAGAGCUAUCUCUCCUUCUCACCUUCUGGAAGAGAGUUUCCUAAACUUUACUGAUAAGAGUCACUUGCAACUCCGGUUAAAAAUUUAGCUUCCCGGCUGGGCACGGUGGCUCAUGCCUGUAAUCCAGCACUUUGGGAGGCCGAGGAGGGUAGAUCAUGAGGUCAGGAGUUCAAGACCAGCCUGGCCAAGAUGGUGAAAACCCAUCUCUACUAAAAAUACAAAAAUUAGCCAGGCGUGGUGGUGGGCGCCUGUAAUCCCAGCUACUCAGGAGGCUGAGGCAGGAGAAUUGCAUGAACCCAGGAGGCGGAGCUUGCAGUGAGCCGAGAUCGCACUACUGCACUCCAGCCUGGGCGACAGAGCGAGACUCCGUCUCAAAAAAAAAAAAAAAAAAAAAAAAAAACAGCUUCCUAGGUUUUGCCCCUGGACAUUCCUAUACAGAGGGUCAGGGUGGGAUCUGAGAAAUUUUUUUUAACCAGUUCUACCACAUAAUUCUUGUCAUCAUAAAAGUGUGGAAAACACUACCGUAUAAUUAGUUACUUGGUGCAGGUAUGUAAUAGACACCUAGCAGUGUCUAUCGGGUGUCUAUUGGAGCAGGGGCUAGAGGAGAGGAUUGUUAUAGAGUAAAAAUGAUGCUUUCCCUGCUGUGGGAAGGAUUACAGUCUUAAGGGAUGGACAGAACUAUUCAUAACUAAUUUGAAUACAAGCCAAACUAUAAGCAUAGGAGUGAUUGUCCAGUUAAGGGACUAUAGAAGACAGAAGACAGCAUUGAAGGGGUAGAUGGCAAAUUGUGGAGACUUGGUGAGAAAGGAGGCCUUUGACCUAGGGCCUAAAUGGAUUUUGCGCAAAAAUAAAAAUCAAUCCCUUUGAGGCUGGCACUGGAAAGAAAAUACCCUGGAGGAAGGAGCACCAGAUUCUGGAGCUCUGAACUUGUUUCCAGAUCCUCUCUUGCUUCGCCUCCUUCUCUGUUUCCAUUGUCACCAUCCUGCUGGCCUCAGAGGGUAGUAAUCUUCAAACACUCUGGCCCAGACAGAAAAAAGAAAGCCCUUUCAAUGAACUCCCCAUUGUCCAGCUGAGGCUGAGGCAAGGCUGAAAUUAAAAAUAAUGAAAAUCAAUAGGCCCUUUACUAAAUGCUGAAGAGCAGAAACAAGGAAAUAAACAGUCCUAUAAAAUCAAAACAUCUAAGAGGCCCACUCCAUCCACAUGGAACCCCUAAGGAAAGGGAAUUAUUCCUGACUCCUUCUCUUCCUAUGUCCUGAUCGCACUUGACUUGACAGGUACUAUUUUCAUCUUUGUCUAUCAUUUGGACUCCUAAAAGUCUAGACAAGGAGAAGGAGAAUCAUUCUCCUUGAAUGGAGUGUUUCCCCUCCCAGGUCCAGCCUCCUGAGUUAGAACUCACCUCUCCUCCAAGCAACUGAGAGCGACUGACUUUCUUUCUGAGCUUCGGUUUCUUUACGGCUUUUCAAAGAACACCAUGGCUACUUUGUCUGAAAUCAAGUCUGGAUGCUGUCAUUAAUUAACUGCAUAAAUUCUGUCUAGGCAUUUAACCUUUCUGAGUUUCUAUUUUUCUGUAGGUAAAAUUAAAGGUUUGUAUUAGAGCUCAGCUCAGUCCCAUUUCUGAUCUGUCUGUACUUCUAGGGACAUCCAUGGGCAUGACUCAAAUUGUUCAUAGUAUAUGUUUUGCCUCAGCAGUAACACCUUAAAUGAAAUAGCCUGAACCUAAAAGCUCAAGUCUAAGAGGGCUCACAUACCUAAAUUCAAACAUCCCUCUGCUUUUAGAGAGCAAGCCCAGUGUGUGGGAACUGAGCUCUUGGAUUCUCUACUUCUCUAUGUAUAGCAUUUAAAGUACAUUAGGACUGAGGGACUCCAGAAGACCUUUCUCUCUCUGGCAAACUUAGCUGCAUGCAAAAAUAGCAUACUGGUACAAACAGAAAAAGUGAGUCAUCAGCUUCUCCCUCAGGCCCCCAUGUCCAGUGUCUGAACCAUUAGAAAUGAAAAGCAGGAUUCAAACUAGCCUCAUGGCAUCAAGCAGUUCCCCAGGAUCUACAAACCAUAGUACUUACAACUUCCUUUUCAUACAUAAUAUGUGUACAGGGCUUUAGUAUGAUGAUGAUGAUGAUAAUGCUCAAAGAUGAAAAGAACCUGAAUGGAAAUAACAAAAUGGCUUGAGGUGCCUUCCUUGGCGUCCCCCAUAUCUAUUCUUUUGCUGAAGUUCACAUUACCCAAUACAGGUUUUUUUUUUUUUUUAUCAUUAAAGGAGCGUAGAGCAUUAGAAUCUUCUUUAACAGGAGAUCUAUAAGAGCUAGACCUAGAAAAUAUAGACAAAAAAGAAGCUAGAUUAAAACACUUCCCGUUGAGAGUAUGGAAGUGAUCAAAACUGGGAAACCCUGCUCCAAUGACGAAUCAAAGUUAGAAGGCCUGGUGGGCAGGAAGCAAAUAUUCACAGCUGGGUAUGGAACCAAGAAGUCCAAAAGGAAGGCAAAGAGGAGAACUGGGACAUUGGAGAAGAUGGGUGAGCAGAAAGUUAGUCUGGGGAAAUACUAGAACACAGCUCUACUGGCCAGGCACAGUGGCUCACGCCUGUAAUCCAACACUUUGGGAGGCCGAGGCGGGUGCAUCACCUGAGGUCGGGAGUUUGAGACCAGCCUGAUCAACACGCAGAAACCCCGUCUCUACUAAAAAUAAAAAAUUAGCUGGCUGUGGUGGCGCGUGCCUGUAAUCCCAGCUACUCAGGAGGCUGAGGCAGGAGAAUCACUUGAACCCGGGAGGCGGAGGUUGCAGUGAGCCGAGAUUACUCCAUUGGACUCCAGCCUGGGCAACACGAGUGAAACUCCAUCUCAAAACAAAAAAAAAAAAGGAAAAAUAAAAAAGAAAAAACAGCUCUAUUACUACUACUGCUACUACUACUGAUAAGUGGCCUUUUCACAUUCUCAUG
rnacentral:lncRNA from 1 species